GUUGGUGUUUCUCAGUGGUAGAGCGCAUGCUUUGUAUCUAUGAUGUCCUGGGAUCAAUUCCCCAGCUUCUCCC